AGAAAACAGAUAUUCCAGAAAGUAUAGAGAAGAGACCCGCCAGGCGGACUCGUGGAGCUAACGCUAUCGUUAGCAGUGACUCCGUCAAGUACCCUGCCUCGCAAGUCUUUUUCGGGGGUAGAAACGCUAGUCAUAGGUGACUCUGUUACACGUAAAGUUAGGCUCACUCGCCAGCGACAGUUAUUUGCCUACCCGGGGCCAGGGCUCCCGACAUUGAAGCUAAACUUAGGGUGCUAACAUGCGGUGAGACCUCAUACGGAGUUAGAUUAGAUGCACCAAACACCGACAUUAGCUUCGACAACAUUGUAGUUCAUGUCGGCACCAACGAUGCUAGGACAAGACAAACUGAGGUCACAAAAAGCAACAUAGCUAGGCUUUGUGACUUCGCCAGAAAGAUG
ensembl:lncRNA